GUGUCUCAACCAAUUCAGUCUUUAUAAAGAAGCACAUGUUGGGUUUCAAUCAUAUUUACUAUUUAAAUAAAAGCUGACAUUGAUUUAAAGCAUGUAAUUUAAAUAGCACUAUAGUUUUUGUUCAUCAUGCACUUUCCUUAAUUUAGCUCACAGCUUCCUUACACAGCUCUGCAGUCUGAUGUGAGGCAAUCUUGCUUCACAGUUAAUAUCACUGGAAGAACAAUUUUUUUCCCCUACUUCUCCUGCUACUAGUUGUCCAACUUCUUUUUCCUCACUUUACUGUUUGUUGUUUAGUGUUGCUUUCCACUGCUGAAAUUAUAAAAGUCAGAUCGGCAGUCAACUCCUUCAUUUCACUGAAAAAGAAGUUUGGUUUGCAGUCAGAGAUCCAUCAAGAAAAAUAAGCCACUCCAUGUAUUCGAGUCACACAAGUUUAUGUUUGGAUACAAAAUUAGAAAAACGUUAAAAAUU
rnacentral:lncRNA from 1 species